UACGUAGGGGGCAAGCGUUAUCCGGAUUUACUGGGUGUAAAGGGAGCGUAGACGGCAGGGCAAGUCUGGAGUGAAAGCCCGGGGCCCAACCCCGGGACUGCUUUGGAAACUGCCAUGCUGGAGUGCUGGAGAGGUAAGCGGAAUUCCUGGUGUAGCGGUGAAAUGCUUAGAUAUCAGGAGGAACAUCGGUGGCGUAAGCGCUUUACUGGGCCGUAAUUGACGCUGAGGAACGAAAGCCAGGGUAGCAAAUGGG
rnacentral:rRNA from 1 species